rnacentral:tRNA from 1 species
GCCGUCGACAAUCUCACUCGUAAUGAGAAGGUCCGGGGUUCGAUUCCCCGAGGCGGCU